ACCACUCCCACAAACGUCUACGACCACGCCUACAUAGUUUUGCAUGUUUACAAUUCUAAUUUUGAACAGCUAAUCAGGUUCCUGGUAACAAUUAGAAUUAAACGUCGAUUGGCUGCUUAAAAUUAGAAUUGUAAACAUGCAAAAAUAUGUAGGCGCGGUCGUAGACGUUUGUAGGAGUGGU
rnacentral:miRNA from 1 species